GAAUAUUGCACAAUGGGGGAAACCCUGAUGCAGCGACGCCGCGUGAGUGAAGAAGUAUUUCGGUAUGUAAAGCUCUAUCAGCAGGGAAGAAAAUGACGGUACCUGACUAAGAAGCCCCGGCUAACUACGUGCCAGCAGCCGCGGUAAUACGUAGGGGGCAAGCGUUAUCCGGAUUUACUGGGUGUAAAGGGAGCGUAGGUGGCGUAUCAAGUCAGAUGUGAAAGCCCGGGGCUCAACUCCGGGAUCGCAUUUGAAACUGGUGCGCUAGAGUGCAGGAGAGGUAAGUGGAACUCCUAGUGUAGCGGUGAAAUGCGUAGAUAUUAGGAGGAACACCAGUGGCGAAGGCGGCUUACUGGACUGUAACUGACACUGAGGCUCGAAAGCGUGGGGAGCAAACA
rnacentral:rRNA from 1 species